rnacentral:rRNA from 1 species
CCCCACUGCUAUCGAGGUGGGACUAAGCCAUGCUAGUCGAACGAACCUUAUGUUAGUGGCACACUGCUCAGUAACACGUAGCUCACCUACCCUUAGGACGAGGACAACCCCGAGAAAUUGGGGCUAAUCCGCGAUAGGUGUGACGUCCUGGAAUGGUAUCACGCCCAAAGGUGUUCGCACGCCUAAGGAUGGGGCUGCGGCCGAUCAGGCAGUUGGUGAGGUAACGGCUCACCAAACCUUUGACCGGUACGGGCCAUGAGAGUGGUAGCCCGGAGAUGGACACUGAGACAAGGGUCCAGGCCCUACGGGGCGCAGCAGGCGCGAAACCUCCUCAAUGCACACACGUGCGAAGGGGUUACCUCGAGUGCCGCCUGAAGAAGGCGGCUUUUCCGUGGUCUAAAAAGCCUAGGGAAUAAGAGGGGGGCAAGACUGGUGUCAGCCGCCGCGGUAACACCAGCCCCUCGAGUGGUGGGGAUGAUUAUUUGGCCUAAAGCGUCCGUAGCCGGCCGGAUAAGUCUCUCGUUAAAUCCAGCGUCUCAAGCGUUGGACUGCGGGAGAUACUGUCUGGCUAGAGAGUGGGAGAGGUAUACGGUAUUCUGGGGGUAGGGGCGAAAUCCAUUGAUCCCCGGAGGACCACCAGUGGCGAAGGCUGUAUACUAGAACACGUCUGACGGUCAGGGACGAAAGCUGGGGUAGCGAACCGGAUUAGAUACCCGGGUAGUCCCAGCCGUAAACGAUGCACGCUAGGUGUUGGGUUGGCCACGUGCCGCCCCAGUGCCGCAGGGAAGCCAUUAAGCGUGCCGCCUGGGGAGUACGGCCGCAAGGCUGAAAC